rnacentral:lncRNA from 1 species
GAGAGUGCAUAUAAAAUUUUGAGCUAAAUUUGCAAACGGUAUCUCCAAUUGAUCUGACUUAAAUAGAUAGAACAGAGAAGCAUUGGAUAUUUACAUGGAGGCAAAAGAAAAUUAUAUUGAACAUCAAAGGAGGAAAAAAAAUGAUCCACCUCCCGCAGACUUUAGAGAAAUAUUGAAUUCUCCCAAUGUAGUCAAAAUGACCAAGUCAGCGGUCAUUGGACUUCUCUAAAAUGAACUAACUAGCAUUGGGCCAUGCUCAGAUAUUUACAAUAGAAAUGGAAGAACAAUGGGGACCAUAAUAUCCAACAAAAUAUUCACAAGAUUAAUGGAAACAUGAAUAACGAGUGUACAUGUCGUAUGAUAAAAAUUAUAUAUAAUACACUAAAGUCAAGGGCCACAUAAAUGCUCUACAUCUUACCAAGUAAAACAAUGUCACUAAAAUCUAUAGAGAUGAAAGAACAAAAUACCAACAUAAAAAUGAAAAGGUAUAUAUAUUCAGUUUUCCAUUCAGCAUUCACCAUGUGGUCUCCACAUUUAAACUAAUCCAAAGAUCAAGCUAAAAGUGUUAAGGAGCUUCAACUAAUUGCUAAACGAACAUGAACAAGUCACGUAUCUACAGCUACCAACAAAGCUCAAAAUGUCAAAAGCUGUGCAUGGGCUUAAAAGAGAGUGAUGAGAAGAAACCAUCAAAGUCUUAAGAAAGUUCCAGGGGUCAUCAUUGUCUAAUAAUGCUGCCAUGACAGUAGGUCUUGUGGUGUGUCGAAAUAGAAAUCUGUGCCUAUAUCCUCUCUCAUCAUAUCAAAUUGGGCACUCGUCCACAAAACAUUAGCAAAACACUUCCAGUAACAGUAAUUAGACAAUUUUCAAUACUUUCAGCCAGUCUAGGCUGCAAACGCUUUAACUGAUAGAUAAGACGCCAUCCAUUUAAUGGGAAAGAAAAGCAAAAACAAUUUAAAUGAUGUAAUUAUAAAUAAAGGUGGCAUCCAUCAGGGGAAAAAUAGAUAAGGUUAAGUGUGUCAAAUCUGCAAACAAGGCAGCAGGCAAUCAAAAGCGAAUUGUACCCUACCUCAACAUCACCAACACUGGCACAGUGAUGGACAACUGAUUCAUCCUCAUUUCCUGCUUCUUCUGCUUCCUCGUGUCCAGAAGUUUCCACAGAAGUGCCUGCUUCUUCGGAAACUGCAAGACCCAUUGCUUCACCCAACUUCUGGAGAACGUCUUUAUCAUUCCAGUACCUAGGCAAGCAUAAUUUGACUGUCAGUAAGUUGAGAAAAUAAAACUAACUUAAAUGAUCCAUCUUUGCUAAUAUCAAGGCAGGAGAACAUAGCAACAAUCUUCUAGUUUUUCCCCAUUUUUAUAAGCAAGUAAUAGUAAAAUACUAGAUAUUACGAUUACUAACCUCAUCAUGGCAGCUGGACCACCGGACUCUAUCUCUUCUAAAAUAGGCUUUAAAGAAGGAUCUUCUCUUAUUCGUGUCAUUCGCUCCUCAAUCUGAUCCUUUUGCGAUGGGUUUGUGAAACUCUCAAGCAUUUGAGACAUUGAUGGAUCCUGAGGAUUGAUAGGGAAAAAAUUAGCCUUUCAUCAGGACUUACAAUUAAACAAUGAAUAGGAAUAUGAGACAAGCCAAAAAAAAAACAGAUAUACCUGCAUUAAUGCAGUGCCAAGGUGCUCAGCCAUAGUCAUAAAUUGAGGAUUCUGCAUAACCUGUUGCAUGGUUGAAUAGUAUUGUUGAGUAUCAAAGUUAGGGAUAGCAUCUUCGGCUGUCGCUCCUUGAAAAGUCUUCUGGAGCUGCUCUGCCAUCUGGUUGAAUGAAGGAUCUUUGGCUAUCUGCUCGGCUAACUCCUUGAUGCUCGGGUCCUACAUAUAUCAAAGCAUAGACAUCUAUAAACCCUUAGAGAAAUAUGGCAAAAUUGUUCAAUAUUAGAGUGAAGUAAGAACAAGUUCGCAAAAUGAGCUUCAAUGUGAAAAGUGGAUUUAGCUUAGGACACGUGGGCAUAUUAGAAGGCAAGACCUUCACCGCCAAAAUGAUAGCUUAUCUAAUGUUUUUACUCCGCAAAUGAAAUUGAAAACAAAGCAAAGAACUGAAGAGUAAAAAUUAGUAAAUGCAAUGGAAAUUGACAAACAUACAUUAAGCAGGCCAGUCAUAGCAGAGAAAUCAAAAGGACUAGGAGGAAAUCCAGCAGCAGCAGCAGCAGCACCUCCCAGUCCAGGAGAUUGAGGAGGAGGAGCUCUUCUUUGUUCCCCAGAGGUUGAGGAGGUUUCUGAUGAUUUAGAUGAGGAGUCUUUGCUGUUAUUUUCUGCACCCGAAGCCGAACCUGUUUUCUCAUCUAAUAACAAAGCAAUUUGCGAUUCGAGUGAGCGAGUCAGUCGAGGUUAUCUCGCAAGCACAAUAACGACAGCAGCAACGGAUCCAUCCAGGAAAUUGAAAGGACGGUAGAAAGCAUACCAGAUGGAAUAGUGGCAUCCUUGUUCGUGGUCGCCAUGACGAACAACAAGCUAAGCUUAAUGAAAAUUAUGCAAUCGAAGAAAGGAGAGGAUAGAUUUUUAUCUGAAGACGAUAGACAGAAGAAGAAAUCGAAUCGAAUCGAGUAAUUACUUUUUAUACAUAAAUAAUAUUACUUUGCUAAUUAUAAAACUAGAAGCAGGUAGGACUAAGAGGAUUACCAGGCAGAGGCAGGCAAUCAAGGCAGCGUGUGUGAAUUGAUGGUUUCAAGAAAGGUAUCUGCCACCACACAGCUCAAGUAAGAAGAAGAAGAAGAAGAAGAAGAAGCGUGCACGACGACAAGGAAAGGAUUUGAUUGAAUUGAAUACAAACCAAGCUUAUUGUUAGUGGGCCAUCUCAAUCCUCAUCUUGUCAUCGAACCAGUGGCUUAUGUAUCGGUUACUGCCACCGCUGUCUUCCUUUUUUGUGUUUUUUUUCCUUACUAGCAGGCCCGAACCCGAUGACCGGAUUCAUGAAUCGAUGGGCCGACAAUAUUUGAGAUUGGGCCUGUGUACAUGUUCUGUUUACCCUUCACAGGUAUGAUAAUUAAUUUCCUUGAACAGUUGCCUGAUUUUGCCUCAAUUUGAUUGUGAGGUGAAACAAUUUGAGUAUGCAUAAUAAAAGGCCUUAGUAUCUCUAUUAUUGUUUACAUAAACACAAACUAUUGUGGAUUGAAGUAGUGUAAUGGCAGCCCAGCCCUUAACACAAAAAGUUGCAAGGGCAGCGGGAGAUGGGUGAGGUUAUCUUUUUCGCUGAGGUGCAUUUGGCAUUAAAGGGAUGGUUGGGGAAAAAAUGAUCAGCACAAGUUUUGGUGAGGCUGCAGGCCAUGGAGAGCGGGCACCUGGCGCUUGGGCUGCCUGGCCUUUGCGCGAGGCAGACCCGAUCACCACAGGGCGUAUGGGCGGCCCUGCCCUUGCGCGGGGCAGACACGAGCGCCACCUGGCGCUUAGGUCUAAAAAAGGGGUAGCACUGAAAAUCUUCUCUUGUACACCAUAUGUGGCUUGAACUUGUCAACUUGAACACUGUGCAUAUGAGAAGUGUCAUCAAAAGAAGGCAAAUAGACAAAAGAGGUGGUUAAUGAUGAAGGCAAGGGAAAGAAACAUUGAUUUUCAAAGAAAAUAACAUUUCUGAAAACAUGAACCCGAUUGGUGUGUGGAUCAAAACAUAGAUAACCCUUUUGAGUGACACUAUAUCCAAGAAAGGCACAAUGAAUUGACUGAGCAGAAAGUUUAUUUCUAUGAGGUGAAGGAAGAUGCAUGAAGCAUAUAUACCCAAAGGUGUGAAGAUUUGUGUAUAUAGGAUGACAAUGAUAAAGGCAAAAAUAUGGAGACUUUAGACUUAAGAUUUGUGAAGGAAGUCUAUUGAUUAGAUAAGUUGUUGUAGUGAGAGCUUCUACCCAAAACUUAUAAGGAAUAAAAGUUUCAAUGAGCAAGGUCCGGACCACAUCCAAAAGAUGGCGAUUCUUGCAUCCCGCUACUCUAUUUUGUUGAGGAGUAUAGGAACAUGAUCGUUGAGAAAUGAUACCUUUAGUUUGCAAGAAAGAUUGGAGAUCAUUAGAUAUAUAUUCCUCACCUGAAUCUGAUCUAAAAAUUUUAACAGUGGCAGAAAAUUGAGUGUUAACAAGUAUCAAGAACAGUUUGAACAUAGAGAAAACUUAUGAUUUGUUCCACAAGAAAUAGACCCAUGUAUAGCGACUGUAGUCAAGGUUGUCAAAAUCGUGAGUUGACUCGUAAAAUUAUAUUAUUUUACGAGUUAACAUGUAUAUAACGGGUAAAAUCGGGUCAAAAACUCAAAAACCAGCAAACUCGAUGAAACUCGUUCAACUCGGUAAACUUAGACCGAGUUUACGAGUUUGACAAAAGUAAAAAAAUUAAUUGACUCCCCUCCCCGUCAGGCCAUCACUCAUUCACUCUCUAGACUUCAGUCGUCUCCCCUUUCCCCUUUCUCAAAUCUCAAAUUCCCGUAACUGGUUCCACAACUCUCUCUCUCUCAAAACAACCAUUUUUUUCUUUAAUUCGUUGGCCUCUGUUCUUCCUCAAGUCUCCUGACUCUCCACUCUCCAUCUUUUGUGCUCUCGUGCCUCACCUCUCUAUAACAGGUUAGUUGUUUUUCUUGACAUAAUUGAUUCUUGAAGACUUGUUUCUGGAGAUGGGUUUGCUGUAAAAGUCAGAUUGAACAAUCUGGGCACCUUAAUCCUUAUGUUCUAUUUAAGUUCUUCUUUUCUUCCCUUUUUUCUCUAUUAAAUUUAACUUAAUUUAAUGGAAAUCUACAAGUGGAAUUCAGGCCUACUUUGGUUGCUACUAGUGAUUUGUAAUUUUCCAUUGAGGUUUUCCCCACUCUUUGGCUUAAAAUUUAAAAAUUUUGCUUUAUUAUCAGUAAUAUGAAAUAUGUGUUUGUUGACUUGUUCAAUCAAAAGUAAUUGAUUCUUUCUCUUUUAAAAUAUGUGAUCCACAUAGUAAUUUGUUUUCUUAACUGUGUGGAAUACAAUGUUUAGUUUGUUUAUUUGGUAGGAUCUAUGGAUAUUUUAGCUUUUUUUCUUUCGGAACAUUUACUAGCUUAUGAGAUAACUUGAAAUUCCAGGAUAAGGCUAAUUUAUAUUGAUACACAAUCAGGUCCUUUUCCAACGCUCCUUCCUGUCACAUUUUCUUCCCGCCUCUGUCACAUCUUUGCUCUUACAUAACGCAAUAACUUUUUUUCACGGUUUUAUCUAUAAAUCUUUGUUGUUCAUGACUAAACUAUCUUAGGCAACCUGUUUUAAAAUCAUUUAUUCAUUGUCUUAAGGCAUUGCAAUAUUUCUUCAUUUGCCAAUUUAAUGCUUAACUUUUGUAUUGAUGAUUUUUAACAGGAAAGAGACAGAUUAACAUUAAUAUUGCUGAUGGUCAUAAGAGUGAUGAGAUCUUGGCAUCACAAGGUUAGUUCUCUUGCGUGCUGUAAGAAUUUCAUUGAUUACAAGUUUCAUUAGAGACAAUUGUAACUUCUCUAGUAUUAUUUUAAAAUAAAGCACACUUUACUUCUCUAAUGUUCAUCAUCUAAUUACCAUUAUUUCUUUAUGGAAACUCCAUCCUUCUACAGGAGAGAUUAACAAGCUAUCAUUAACAAAGCACAAGGUUAGUUUUCUUAUGUCUGUGUUUGUGCAAUAAUCCUUUGAUGCUCCUCUAUAUUUCAUUUUCUAGACCCAUAAGCCAUUAUAAAAUAUCAGAUAAACAAACAAAUUUCAUGAGGCAAUAUUAUGGUUUACUUGAUACAGUUAUCCUAUAGGUAGCUAAUCUCAUUCUCUUUCAAUCCUUGUCUUUCUUAUGUCUUUCUGUAUUUGUGAAUUACUCCAUUGAUUAUGAUUAGGUUUCAUUAGGAUGACAGUAACAUCGCUAGUAUUAUUUUUUAAACAAACCAUAUGACAUGAGAAUAUUUUUGUUAUAAUCAGACUUUCCAAUUUGUUGAAUCUUUUACAUGACAAUGCUAACACCAAGUUGCACAUAAAAUAGACUGGGCAUUUGGGCUCUUAAUUUUCUCUUCUGACUGCAUUAGAUUGUUAAGUUUGAUGUAAUCCUCUAGCAUUUCAUUUUCUAGACCCAUUAACUGUUCUGAAGUAUUUAAUAACGAACCAGACUUGAUCAAGCAAUAUUAUGGCUUAUCUUUAUAUAUUUUUCUUUGCUUUGCAAUCAUAUUAUUAAUAUUUCAGGUGGCUAAAGCACAAGCAACAGCCAAAGGAAUUACCAUUGUGUUAGAGUAUAUUAAAAAGAGCGGGGGAGUUGAGGUGAAGUUCUUUACUUGGAUUGUGAUAUGGUUGCAUUGAGAUUUAAAAUCUCAUAUAAAAUAGAGAUAUUUCUUAUAUUAGUUAUUUUUACAUGUUUUAUACCAUAUAUAUGAUUUAUGAUUCAAUCAUUUUAGCAUAUGCUAGAGAAUCAGUUGUGCCAUGUCUAAUGUGCAUUAGGGCUCAAGUUUAUGGCAUGAUUUGCAGGCAAUUAGUUUGAAAAUUGAACUACAGUAUACAUGGCAUCUAAAAAAACUAGCUAGUUUUGGAAAUAAUCAUUUAGAUGAUAAAGAUUUUGAUGAAUGUUUUAGAAAUAACGAGGAAGAUAAAGGCAAUGAGGCUGGUUUUAGUUUACAUGACACACCAUCAGAUUGUUUGUUUUAGGUUUAUUAAUUUUUAGUUAAUGAAAUUCUAUGGACAUAAUUGUAUUGUAUUUUUAAGUUAUUUAAACUAUGUAUGAAUUUUAUUUAAACUAUGUAUUUUAAGGUGUUUGGAGUUUUGUAUUGUUUAUUUCAUUUUUAUUUUAAUUGUAUUAUAUUAUUAUUUACUACUUGACUAAAAUUGUCAAUAUAUAAUUAGUUAAAAUAUUUUACUUAUGAUUUUAUGAUUUUACGAUCCGAGUUUAUAUUGUGUAUUCUGUGUCGUGUCAAAAAAAUAUUUUUGAUAACUUUGGCUGUAGUCAUCGAUAAAGGUUAUAAAAUAUCUGUAAUGUGCAUAAGAAAUGACAGAACUUAUUCCCCAAACAUCACUAUGAAUUAUCUCAAAAGGGUUUGUGGCUCUACUGCCUUCAGAAGAAAAGGGUAAAAUUUUACUUCUGCCAAGUUUACAUGUGGCACAAUCAAGGAACAUAGUUAAAGCUGAAUGUUCUUUAUUGUUUAUUAACCUAAAUUUCAAUAAAUGAGAGAAAAAUCUAGGAUUUUGAUGACCAAGACGUUUAUGUCAAACUUCAUUGGACACUUUAGGUGCUGUACAAAAGAAAGAUAAAAUAGAGAAAGGAAGCAAGGUGCGUGGAAUAAGGAGUUGAAGAGAAAAUAGACGUUCGUGUUUAGGCCCCUUCGCUAUUAGCUAUCCUAAAAUCUGAUCCUAUACAAUACAGUCACGAUUAGAAAAGUGUAUGUCACAGUUAUUGUCCACAAGUUGACCUACAAAAGAUAAAUUUAUAGCAAGCUUGGGUGAGACAAAAACAUCCUUUAAAAAAUGAGGUACAUUACCAACAAUCAUGAUGGGAAGAGUACUACCAUUGGUUGUUUUAAUAUGUGAGGAUCCAUAAUAUUUUUGGAUAUUACUUAAGCCACAUAAAGAGUUUUUCAUAUGAUUGGAAGCACCUGAAUCUAAGAUCCAAGAAAGAGCUAAAGAACUAGUACCUCGAAGGCCAAGCGUGGAGGAAGCACUCACAACCAUUUCUUGCACCAUCUCUCGGGUUUGGAAAUUUGCUAGAGGCUGAGUCUAUGAAACAGGGGAACUAACAGCAAUAACAACAACGUGAUAAGCUUUGUUGGAGCAUGAAGGAGGACGAAUAGGACACUCCUUAAUGAUGUGUCCUGGCUGCUUGCAGUAGUUGUAAAAUUUAUGAGGAUAAUAGGGAGCAAUAUGUCCAUACUUUUUACAGCUAUAGCAUUGUGUCUUGCUCAUAUCGUAACUCAUCCCCUUGUUGUAAGCAGCAUAAGCAACUGAGACAGUGGUAGAGAUAACUCUUAUCUGCUCCAUAAUGGUUUAAGUAUGGAGAUACUACUCUUCACGCAAGAGUUCUCCAAAGCAAGCGUCCAAGGAUGGAACAAGAUCGCGAUUGACUAAAGAGGCACGAACUGGUUCAUAUUUUGGUCAUAAUUUCAUCAAAAAUUGGUCUUGUUGGUUGAUUUUAUGGAUUUGCUGCACUGCCAGCAUACCUCCUGCAGAAACCUUGUUUAUAACAAGAUCAGAAUAGUCAUUCCACAAAGUCAGAAAUCCAGAAUAGUAAUCUUGAAUAAAAAGAUCUUGGGUAUAGUUGGCAAUAGUCAACUCAAGCUGAAAACGUCUAGCAUUGUUAUCUUGGUUAUAGACUUGUGUGAGGUGAUCUCAUAUAGCCUUUGCAGAUCUAUGAGGACGCAAAGAAAGGAUCAGAUGUGGCUCCAUAGAAUUGAGAAUCCAAGACAUGAUUUGUGCAUCUUUGGCAUCCCAUUCUGCCUUAGCAACAACAGAUCCUUUAGCAGCUAAGUCUUCUUUGUCAUUGCCAUCUAUGUGGCCUCAUAACCCCUUUUCCUUGAAAAAGAUCUCCAAUUGAAAUGUCCAAGCAGUAUAAUUUUUGCCAGUAAAUCUGACACAACAUUAUCUGACUUCUUCAUAAAGCUAUGACUGAGAAAGAAAACAAAAAACUUAAGAAUUCUGUGAGAAAAGCUCUGAUACCAUAAUAGAAUGGUUUGAAUUGUCUUCAUCUUUAGACUAGUCUUUCAUUAUAUAGGAAAAGUUGUCAUGUACAUAGUAAUUACAAAGAGCAAAUCUAGGGAGCUAUAUAUGGUAAGGUAAAUUUCAUAUUUAUAUCUAGCAUUUAUAGCCUAGAUUUUUAUAGGUACAAAUACUUGUGUGCUUGAUGUCAACCUUUCUAGUGACCUGUAUACUACUUGAUUUCAACUUUUCUAUUGACAAGUUAAGGUAUCAAGCUAGUUAUAAAAAAAUACAGGCAGGGGAAUGAAGAUUUGAAAAGCCAAUUAAGGCCAAGAUAGAAAUGUUCAUGAAGAGUAUAUGUUGGCUAAAAGAGAAGUAAAGAAUGCAGCUGGGGAGAAGGAUGUGUAAAAGUUAUUUUUGUAUGAGGAAUACAAAGAGUUCUAAGAUACAAAACAAAUUACAGUGUAUCAAAUAUGAGGAUGUAAAGAUCUUGGUAUCAAGAAGAUGGAGAAAUUAUUUUGACUAGUUGUUUAAUGAGAUUUAGUUUAGAAACCUUGGAGAUCUCAUCCUAGAGGAAGCAAGAAACCUUAAGUAUACAUAUGGGAUAUGGGUUUUGAAAGUAUUGAGGCUAUGAAGGAAGUAAGAUUCAAAAUUCUUUGUAGGUUUAACAAAAUAACUAUUAAAGUUUCAAGAUUCAUAGAAGUGGAAGUCAUGUGGUUGAUAAAAAUUGAAGUUUCAACCUUAAACAUACAUUUGGGAUUUGAGUUUUGGAAGUAUUGAGGUUCUGAAGGAAUUAAGAUUCAAAAACCUUUGCAGGCUUAACAAAAUAACUAUUGAAAUUUUAAGAUGUAUAGAAGUGGAAGUCAUGUGGUUGCCAAAGUUGUUGAAUGGAAUAUUGAAGAAGGCAUUGGAUGACUAGAAAAAAGUGUUUUGCUAUACGAGAUGAAGGGUAAUACUUGAGUUUCAUGUUCUAUUGUGGCAUUAAAGUUAUUUAUCAUUUGAUGUAGCUAUGAGGAGAGUGACGAAGCAUACGUUUUCUGAUCAGAAAAUCAAUUUUGUUUUGUGCUUGAGAGAUCGACUAGAGAGUUAUGUUUCUUUUUUAGAGUUUAAUGGAGAGAAACAGAAAUAAAAGAAACCUUUAUAUGCCUCUAAUUGAUUUCAAGAAGGAUUUUAUGACGUGACAUACAAUGUAGAUAGAAGCUAGGGCUUUCAAGUUCUAAGGUUACAAACCUAAGCUAUAAAGAAAUUUAGAGAAAACUCUUUAAUGUUUUAUUAAAAGUCUGAAUAAUAAUCUAAAGUCUCAAAAUAAAUUAGGCAUCCUUAUUUUUAUUAGUGCUAAAAUCCUUUAUAGGAAAUGAUUCCCAAUUAAAACUUAAAUCCUUUAUAAGAAAAGAUUUCUAAUUAAAACUUACCUAACUAAUAAAUCCAUCUAGCAUUAGAAUUUCUAAAUAAUAAAGUAUUGAUUAAAUGAAAAGUCCUAAUCUAAUUAGGAACAAGAAUCAAAAUACAACAAGGAAAAUAAAUACAAUCAUGUACAAUAACUUCCAAGCCCUAUUUGAAUGCCUUUCCAAUAUCCAAUCAUCAUGAAAUUUUAACCUAAUAGGAAACAAGGCCUUCAAAAUCUUCUGUCAAAAGUUCAGCUCAAUGCAAUGGUCAGAUUAAAAGUUAUGCUUGGUUUACCAAAUUGUGUCUUGAACUCUUCUUAAACUCCUCAAAAUCUAAAAACCUUAAUCGUCAAUGAAAUAAUGCAAUAAAUAUUAUUGUAUCAAUAAUAUUGAAGAAAUUUUCCCAUAUCAAUCCCCUCUACUUCUAAAAAAAACUCGCUCUCGAGUUAUCCAUUGGACUCGACCACUCCAAAUAAAUAAAUACUUUGAAUACAACAUUGUCACCAAUAUAUGUAUGAGAUAGAUUGUUCCAAAUAUCUUAAAUCCAAUUUUAGCAAAGAUAUAUUCAUGUAGAAUUUCUGAAUCUAAACAAAAUUUCUCAAGACCCAAAAAAUCAACCUCAUAUGAAAAUUUCUUUUGAGUUGAUGGCAACAUUAAUUGACGUGUUUGGUCAUCCCUCACAAUAACAUCUUGACCAUCAAUUGGAUUGGUAAUCUUAGAUGAUUGAUCCAAUAAGAAUAUGAUUGGUUUAAACAACACACCCAUACUUAAGUCCUAUUUGAUGUCAACUUUAGCCUCCUGAGCAAUUCCAACAACUUGUUCUGGCUUUUCUUUUAGUGAUUCGAGACCUUGAGAAUCACUACUUCAUGAGCUUCUUUGAUUUCUUCUUCAUUAUUAGUAGAUGAAACAUCAAGUAGAGUAGUAUUUGUAGCAAUGUUGUGUUAUCAUUGUUGUGAUGUUGAAACUUUCUACUAUGAAUAGUCGACACCUUCUCUAUAAUUUUCUUCCUUGCUCGUUUAGAAAGUUGAACGAAAGACAAAUAAUAACAAUCCAAUUGCUUAUCUAUCCAAUAUAAAAUCUCUUUGUAAUAAUCUUGUAUAAAUUCUAAAAUUAUUGAUUGUUUCAAAUCUUGCCGAGAUCGAAUUAAAGAGAUACUAAUAAGAGUUCUAAAAUCUAAAAAUCCAAACCAUCAUUCUCUAGCACCAUAAGAAAGUGUGUACGACAAGUCCUUCCUUUUGAUGAUAAGAAACCUUGUUGAAAUAAAAGUAAGCUUCCAGGACUCAGGUUUGCUAACUACUUGAUAAAUCUUUUAUUUAAAAAUCUCCCAUUAUAGAAUGAGAUCUCAUCAAAUUCAGGAAUAGGUCUGGGGUUAGCCUGCCUUGAGGUAAGUCUCCAGGUAAGUUUAUACCCUCUUCACAAUCUCUAUUUGUGUUACUCAUUAGCCAAGCUAGAUCUGCCAUGGUUUGCUCCAAACGAUCAAACCUUUGUUUCAAACGAUCUAGUUUUUGCUCUCGAGUCCCCACAAUGCCCUGAAAAGCCUCCACUCCUGCAUCACGGAGUGGGUUACUACUGUUUUCAUCUAUUAAAGAGGCUAACCUGCUUUGAUAGUAAUUGACACGACGUAUAGCGUGGAUAGAAGUUAGGGUUCUCAAACUCUAAGGUUAUAGACCUAGGUUGUUUUAAAAAAAAAUUCUCUAGUGUUUUAUUAAAAAUCUGAAUAAUAAUCUUCAAUUUCAAAAUAAACUAGUCAUUCUUAUUUAUAUUAAUCCUAAAAUUCUUUAUAGGAAAUGAUUCUCAAUUAAAAUUAAAAUCCUUUAAAGAAAAUAAUUUCUAAUUAAAACUUACCUAGCUAAAAGAAACCAUCAAGCAUUAGGAUUUUUAAAUAGAAAAAUACUAAUUAAAUUAAAAUUUCUAAUUUAAAUAGAAAAAAAAUCCAAAUACAACAAGGAAAAUAAACACAAUCUCAUACACUAACUUCCAAGCCCUUUUUAAAUGCCUUUCUAAUCUCCAAUCAUCAUGAAAUUUUAAUCCAAUAGAAAAAAGUUUUUGGAAUCUUGUCACAAUUUCAAAAUAAUUUUAGUUUAAAUAAACCAAUAUUUUUAAAAUAUUUUUUUAGAAAAAAAAAUACAAAAUAAAUUUUUUUAUUUUUAAAAUUUAUUUUUAAUAUCAAUAUAUCAAAACCAACUUAAAACAUAAAAAAAAUUAAAGUAAAAAUAAAUAAAAAAAUUUACUUUUUUUUAAAUCACUUUUAAAAUACAAAAAAAAAAGAGGUUCAAAAUGAAUGUCGGGAUUUGUUGAUGUUAAAACCCAGGCAUCAGAUGCUAAAACAAGAAUAUAAAUAAAAUACGGUAUCCAAUCAAAACCAUUUUCAAGAUGUUCUCAGUUGUAGAUAAUGUAUGGAGCAUGGAAUAGAACAUUUCAUCGCAUGCCUAUCUAAUCCCAGAUACACAAGACAGAAUAUUUAUGCCACCAAUCACAAAACUCAAGAAGCAGCAAUCAGAUGAUAAUAAAGACAUCAAAAUGUUUAAAACGCUCGAGUCCUAUGACAUGCCAAGUUACAGGAAGGCAUCCUUCUCGAGCAACUUUAGCACCUCUUGCUGGUUGUUGAGUUUAGCAACAUCAAUGGGCGUCUUGCCAUCCAUGUUCUGAAGUGUACUGUAGUUUAACCCAAAGAGAGAUUCCAUCAGGACAGGAAAAAACACAUGAAGCCAUAAAGGGAGGGCAUUCCUAACUGAGAGCUAUUGACUUACACUGCAGCGCCAUUUUCCAGUAAAAGGGCUACACACUCCUUUCUUCCAUAACCAGCUGCAUAAUGGAGUGCCGUGUUCUUGUUCUUAUCCAGUGCAUCAACAGUUGCCCCGGCCUCGAGAAGAAUUUGGGCACACUUCACCUGAAACAAAUUGAAAGAAGCUGCUUGUUGCUUACAAUAGCAAUUUGACCAAUUUGCAUAAAUUUCCAAUAAUGUCUGACGGCCCAAUGAUUCUGCAACUAGAAGGGGCCCAAACCAAGAGGCCAGCUAUAGAUCACUGACCAAUCUAACAUCUAGCCUUUUAUCAUUGUAAGCCAACUAGGGAGUUCAUUUUUUGCAAUGUGCCAUGGCAACUACCAAGUACUAGCGCAGGUAUUCAUGAACUCUUUCUAGCAGCAUACCAUAAUAGGUUCCUGAAGUCACCUCUAACGAUUACUUGUCUUGAUAAUAACAAAAAAACCAAGAUCAACCGCUGAAGAGGGGAGGGGCAAAAAGCAAGAGUCUACACCACACACAAACAACAGAGCAGUAGUUUAGAAAUAAUGAUACCUCCCCAUAUCCGCAGGAAAAAUGCAAUGCAGUUCUUCCCUCUGAAUCUUCUUCAUCCUUGUCAGCACCAGAGGCUAGAGCAUUUUUCAAACCCUAAUUGGAGAGUGCAUAUAAAACUUUGAGCUAAAUUUGCAAACGGUAUCUCCAAUUGAUCUGACUUAAAUAGAUAGAACAGAGAAGCAUUGGAUAUUUACAUGGAGGCAAAAGAAAAUUAUAUUGAACAUCAAAGGAGGAAAAAAAAUGAUCCACCUCCCGCAGACUUUAGAGAAAUAUUGAAUUCUCCCAAUGUAGUCAAAAUGACCAAGUCAGCGGUCAUUGGACUUCUCUAAAAUGAACUAACUAGCAUUGGGCCAUGCUCAGAUAUUUACAAUAGAAAUGGAAGGACGAUGGGGACCAUAAUAUCCAACAAACUAUUCACAAGAUUAAUGGAAACAUGAAUAACGAGUGUACAUGUAAGUAUGAUAAAAAUUAUAUAUAAUACACUAAAGUCAAGGGCCACAUAAAUGCUCUACAUCUUACCAAGUAAAGCAAUGUCACUAAAAUCUAUAGAGAUGAAAGAACAAAAUACCAACAUAAAAAUGAAAAGGUAUAUAUAUUCAGUUUUCCAUUCAGCAUUCACCAUGUGGUCUCCACAUUUAAACUAAUCCAAAGAUCAAGCUAAAAGUGUUAAGGAGCUUCAACUAAUUGCUAAACGAACAUGAACAAGUCACGUAUCUACAGCUACCAACAAAGCUCAAAAUGUCAAAAGCUGUGCAUGGGCUUAAAAGAGAGUGAUGAGAAGAAACCAUCAAAGUCUUAAGAAAGUUCCAGGGGUCAUCAUUGUCUAAUAAUGCUGCCAUGAUGGUAGGUCUUGUGGUGUGUCGAAAUAGAAAUCUGUGCCUAUAUCCUCUCUCAUCAUAUCAAAUUGGGCACUCGUCCACAAAACAUUAGCAAAACACUUCCAUUAACAGUAAUUAGACAAUUUUCAAUACUUUCAGCCAGUCUAGGCUGCAAUCGCUUUAACUGAUAGAUAAGACGCAAUGCAUUUAAUGGGAAAGAAAAGCAAAAACAAUUUAAAUGAUGUAAUUAAAAAUAAAGGUGGCAUCCAUCAGGGGAAAAAUAGAUAAAGGUUAAGCAUGUCAAACCCGCAAAAAAAGGCAGCA